rnacentral:rRNA from 1 species
CACGUAGGGUGCGAGCGUUGUCCGGAAUUAUUGGGCGUAAAGAGCUUGUAGGCGGUCUGUCGCGUCUGCUGUGAAAAUCCGGGGCUCAACCCCGGACCUGCAGUGGGUACGGGCAUGACUGGAGUUCGGCAGGGGAGACUGGAAUUCCUGGUGUAGCGGUGAAAUGCGCAGAUAUCAGGAGGAACACCGGUGGCGAAGGCGGGUCUCUGGGCCGAUACUGACGCUGAGGAGCGAAAAGCGUGGGGGAGCGAACAGG